AUUCCAGCUCCAAUAGCGUAUAUUAAAGUUGUUGCAGUUAAAAAGCUCGUAGUUGGAUUUCUGGGAGGGUGCCAAUGUCCGUCGUCGUACGUGUUGCAGCGGCGCCCUUCCAUCCUUCUGUUAACGACUUUGGGCAUUCACUUGCCGGAGUCGGGCUCAGAUAUUUUACCUUGAGAAAAUUAGAGUGUUUCAGGCAGGCCAGGCCGGAAUACAUUAGCAUGGAAUAAUGGAAUAGGACUACGGUCUCUUUGUUGGUUUGAGGGACUGCAGUAAUGAUUAAUAGGGAUAGUUGGGGGCAUUAGUAUUUAAUUGUCAGAGGUGGAAUUCUCAGAUUUGUUAAAGACUAACUUAUGCGAAAGCAUUUGCUAAGGAUGUUUUCAUUA
rnacentral:rRNA from 1 species